GCAGUGCCGAUGAUGAGUUUACAAAAUGUACUAGGUUGAAUCCUGAUCGAAGAACCUCUCUGGUUCUGAACGAUGACCACCCAUGUUCCUCUCGAUUUGCGGCUCAAA
rfam:Leersia perrieri chromosome 10, whole genome shotgun sequence.